AUUUUUACAGCUUAGGUAGUACAAACCUAUUUUACAAACCCUUGUAUUUUGGCGGCAUUUCAUCUAUUUAGAGGAACCUGUCCCUUAACCGACAACCCACGAUAAUUUUUACUUCCUUCCAGAAUUUACAUACCGUCAUCUUCAAAUAAACUCUCAAGUACAAUUUCAAAGAUUACCUCUAAAAAGAUAGAUCAAGGCGUAAUCAAUAAGGCAGCUGUGAUGUGUUACUUUAAAUAUAAUUCAAGGAUCUUUAUACAAAUCAUCAAGAACAAAGAGGAUUUAAAAGUAAAUCGUCAAAUAAUAAUUUACAUUGAAAUAGAUUAUUAAUGUGC
rnacentral:rRNA from 1 species